CUCCUUUGCCACUGUGUGCCAAUGCAGGUGGCUCUCACACUGGUCCAUACGCUCCUGAUGCAGGAACUUGCACUUGUCAGGAACAAGGAGGGCAUCACUCACAAAUUCCCCCACUGCACCUCGAAACAAUAUCCACAUCCUACUGAUAUUAGG